rnacentral:lncRNA from 1 species
UCUGUUUGUCUUUUUUAUUUUUAGUCAUGGCGUUGUCAGUUUGUUUUAGAUUUAUGAGUUUGACUGUCCCUUUGGUAUCUUUCGUCCCUCUUUUCUAUUUGUACACAGACAACAUUUCGCUCUGUUGUAAAAUCUUAAGGAAUCAAAACUGUAAGAGCUAUCCACAAACUCUUAUAAAAAACAGAUCUUACAUUCGAAGCCUUUUCGUUUACCUUAUAUCACACAAUAUUAUGUCUCAAGCUAUGAUAAACUUUGAACUAAUCAAACCAGUUCACAUCUACAAAUGUGAUAAUAUGUGACUAAAUGGUGAAUGUUUUAUGUCAAGUAAGGUAAAAGAAGAUAAUUCUUACCUGGAAUACAUGUUUGAACAGUUUGUAAUUACAUACGCAGUCAAAAUUGUAUUUAGCUGAAAUUUAUCUCAUAAGACCAGUAAUCUACGCUCUCUAUGUACAAAUGUACAUGUAUUAAAAGACACCCUUCCUUAUG